GGGGAAUAUUGCGCAAUGGGCGAAAGCCUGACGCAGCGACGCCGCGUGAGGGAUGACGGCCUUCGGGUUGUAAACCUCUUUCGGUAGGGACGAAGCGUAAGUGACGGUACCUGCAGAAGAAGCGCCGGCUAACUACGUGCCAGCAGCCGCGGUAAGACGUAGGGCGCAAGCGUUGUCCGGAUUUAUUGGGCGUAAAGGGCUCGUAGGCGGCUUGUCGCGUCUGUCGUGAAAGCUCAGGGCUUAACUCUGAGUUUGCGGUGGAUACGGGCAGGCUUGAGGCAAGUAGGGGAGAACGGAAUUCCAUGUGUAGCGGUGAAAUGCGCAGAUAUGUGGAGGAACACCGGUGGCGAAGGCGGUUCUCUGGGCUUGUUCUGACGCUGAUGAGCGAAAGCGUGGGGAGCGAAC
rnacentral:rRNA from 1 species